GUUUCCGUAGUGUAGUGGUUAUCAUGUUUGCCCAACACGCAAUAGGUCCCAAGUUAGAAACUGGGUGGAAACA